GAUGAACGCUGGCGGCGUGCCUAAUACAUGCAAGUCGAGCGAACGGACGAGAAGCUUGCUUCUCUGAUGUUAGCGGCGGACGGGUGAGUAACACGUGGAUAACCUACCUAUAAGACUGGGAUAACUUCGGGAAACCGGAGCUAAUACCGGAUAAUAUUUUGAACCGCAUGGUUCAAAAGUAAAAGACGGUCUUGCUGUCACUUAUAGAUGGAUCCGCGCUGCAUUAGCUAGUUGGUAAGGUAACGGCUUACCAAGGCAACGAUGCAUAGCCGACCUGAGAGGGUGAUCGGCCACACUGGAACUGAGACACGGUCCAGACUCCUACGGGAGGCAGCAGUAGGGAAUCUUCCGCAAUGGGCGAAAGCCUGACGAAGCAACGCCGCGUGAGUGAUGAAGGUCUUCGGAUCGUAAAACUCUGUUAUUAGGGAAGAAUAUAUGUGUAAGUAACUGUGCACAUCUUGACGGUACCUAAUCAGAAAGCCACGGCUAACUACGUGCCAGCAGCCGCAGUAAUACGUAGGUGGCAAGCGUUAUCCGGAAUUAUUGGGCGUAAAGCGCGCGUAGGCGGUUUUUUAAGUCUGAUGUGAAAGCCCACGGCUCAACCGUGGAGGGUCAUUGGAAACUGGAAAACUUGAGUGCAGAAGAGGAAAGUGGAAUUCCAUGUGUAGCGGUGAAAUGCGCAGAGAUAUGGAGGAACACCAGUGGCGAAGGCGACUUUCUGGUCUGUAACUGACGCUGAUGUGCGAAAGCGUGGGGAUCAAACAGGAUUAGAUACCCUGGUAGUCCACGCCGUAAACGAUGAGUGCUAAGUGUUAGGGGGUUUCCGCCCCUUAGUGCUGCAGCUAACGCAUUAAGCACUCCGCCUGGGGAGUACGACCGCAAGGUUGAAACUCAAAGGAAUUGACGGGGACCCGCACAAGCGGUGGAGCAUGUGGUUUAAUUCGAAGCAACGCGAAGAACCUUACCAAAUCUUGACAUCCUUUGACAACUCUAGAGAUAGAGCCUUCCCCUUCGGGGGACAAAGUGACAGGUGGUGCAUGGUUGUCGUCAGCUCGUGUCGUGAGAUGUUGGGUUAAGUCCCGCAACGAGCGCAACCCUUAAGCUUAGUUGCCAUCAUUAAGUUGGGCACUCUAAGUUGACUGCCGGUGACAAACCGGAGGAAGGUGGGGAUGACGUCAAAUCAUCAUGCCCCUUAUGAUUUGGGCUACACACGUGCUACAAUGGACAAUACAAAGGGCAGCGAAACCGUGAGGUCAAGCAAAUCCCAUAAAGUUGUUCUCAGUUCGGAUUGUAGUCUGCAACUCGACUACAUGAAGCUGGAAUCGCUAGUAAUCGUAGAUCAGCAUGCUACGGUGAAUACGUUCCCGGGUCU
rnacentral:rRNA from 1 species